rnacentral:rRNA from 1 species
UACGAAAGGGGCUAGCGUUGCUCGGAAUCACUGGGCGUAAAGGGUGCGUAGGCGGGUCUUUUAAGUCAGGGGUGAAAUCCUGGAGCUCAACUCCAGAACUGCCUUUGAUACUGAAGAUCUUGAGUUCGGGAGAGGUGAGUGGAACUGCGAGUGUAGAGGUGAAAUUCGUAGAUAUUCGCAAGAACACCAGUGGCGAAGGCGGCUCACUGGCCCGAUACUGACGCUGAGGCACGAAAGCGUGGGGAGCAACAGG